CACGCACGCUGGCGGCAUGCCUAACACAUGCAAGUCGAACGAGACCUUCGGGUCUAGUGGCGCACGGGUGCGUAACGCGUGGGAACCUGCCCUUAGGUUCGGAAUAACUCCCCGAAAGGGGUGCUAAUACCGGAUAAUGUCUUCGGACCAAAGAUUUAUCGCCUUUGGAUGGGCCCGCGUUGGAUUAGCUAGUUGGUAGGGUAAAAGCCUACCAAGGCGACGAUCCAUAGCUGGUCUGAGAGGAUGAUCAGCCACACUGGGACUGAGACACGGCCCAGACUCCUACGGGAGGCAGCAGUGGGGAAUAUUGGACAAUGGGCGAAAGCCUGAUCCAGCAAUGCCGCGUGAGUGAUGAAGGCCUUAGGGUUGUAAAGCUCUUUUACCCGGGAUGAUAAUGACAGUACCGGGAGAAUAAGCUCCGGCUAACUCCGUG
rnacentral:rRNA from 1 species